GAUGAACGCUAGCGGCAGGCCUAAUACAUGCAAGUCGAACGGAAUAUGAUUUUCGGAUUAUAUUUAGUGGCGCACGGGUGAGUAACACGUACAUAACUUACCCUCAAGAGGGGGAUAGCCUCGGGAAACUGAGCGUAAUACCCCAUAGUAUUAUUGAACGGCAUCGUUUGAUAAUUAAAGCUACGGCGCUUGAGGAUAGAUGUGCGUCUGAUUAGCUAGUUGGUAAGGUAACGGCUUACCAAGGCGACGAUCAGUAGGGGGCGUGAGAGCGUGGCCCCCCACACGGGUACUGAGACACGGACCCGACUCCUACGGGAGGCAGCAGUAAGGAAUAUUGGUCAAUGCCCGGAAGGGUGAACCAGCCAUGCCGCGUGAAGGAUGACUGCCCUCUGGGUUGUAAACUUCUUUUGGAUGGGACGAAAAAACGGGAUUUAUCCUGGACUGACGGUACCAUCAGAAUAAGCACCGGCUAACUCCGUGCCAGCAGCCGCGGUAAUGUCUGUACU
rnacentral:rRNA from 1 species